rnacentral:rRNA from 1 species
UACGUAGGGUGCAAGCGUUGUCCGGAAUUAUUGGGCGUAAAGAGCUCGUAGGCGGUCUGUUGCGUCGGCUGUGAAAACCCGAGGCUCAACCUCGGGCCUGCAGCCGAUACGGGCAGACUAGAGUUCGGCAGGGGAGACUGGAAUUCCUGGUGUAGCGGUGAAAUGCGCAGAUAUCAGGAAGAACACCAAUGGCGAAAGCAGCUCUCUGGGACGGUACUGACGCUGAGACGCGAAAGCGUGGGGAGCGAACAGG